AGUGAUAUGCCAACUAGAGUUUUGAGACAACAAACUGGAAAUAAAGACAGUACUGCUGCUCAGAGUAUAAUCACUACAAGACUUUCCAUUUUUUUUUGAUAAGAACAGGAGGGGUUUGGGACCCCUACUGAUUAGAUAUAUAUAAAAACCAAAAGAAACGAAGGAACAAGUAUCCAGUGAAUAAAAGAAGACAGGAGGAGCCUAGCAAAAGGAAGGAGAAGAGCAGAAGAAUUAUAAAAAAGAAAGGAAGAAGAAAGAGAAAUAACUAAGACGACGACAACAACAACAGAGAGCAGAAAAGUAGAAAGGAGAUAGCCUAGAGGGAUUGAAUCCAGACUUCCAUUUGUUGUUGAUGCCUUGGUCUGGCCCUGAGCAAGAGGUCUUUGAAUUCUGAGAUGAAUUUCCCAUUGCAAGACAGGAUGAGGGGAUCAACAUUUUUGAACAUCCAAUCAUUUCUUGUUGUCCAUAUACUCCACGCCAGUAAGACUAUAAUCUCCAUAAAGAAC
rnacentral:lncRNA from 1 species